CUGCUGCCUUCCGUAGGAGUUUGGGCCGUGUCUCAGUCCCAAUGUGGCCGUCCACCCUCUCAGGCCGGCUACUGAUCGUCGCCUUGGUGGGCCGUUGCCCCGCCAACUAGCUAAUCAGACGCGAGCUCAUCUCAGAGCGAUAAAUCUUUGGCGUCCAGAGAGAUGCCUCCCAGACGCAUCAUGCGGUAUUAGCGGCUGUUUCCAACCGUUAUUCCCCACUCCAAGGCAGAUUGCU
rnacentral:rRNA from 1 species